AAUGCUAAUGAGACAGGGAUCUCAGAAAUGUGUAUAUCAAAUUUUGACAUGUCGUAAACAGAAUUAAAAGAGUUUGUUGGAACCCUGUACAGAAAAUCACAAUUACAAAGUAGGGAUGAGACCUUCCUGAACAGGACUUAAAAAGCCCACAGCAAAUCUCAGAUGUACCUUACCCAGUAAUACUGUGAUAAAUAAUCCUAAAAUGUUGGGGGGAAAUUAUUUUGAAAGCUAAUAUAGAUUUUAAACUAAUGUGCUGACAUCAUGAUGGCCUGAAUUGAUUUUCGAAUAGCAAAGCAGUGUGCUCUGUUUACCUCCACCAGUAAAAAUCCAACCUGGUCCUUGAUCCUACCUAAUCCUUUAUGUUAAUCUCUUCUAUUAUGUGAAAGCGCCGUGGCAGACUAGUCUGACUGUUACACCACGAAUUUUGCCUUAUGUCACCCUGGCCUUUCAAUAGUGUUUGAGUUUUUGGAUUAGUAGCAGUCUGAAAGCUGAAGAUCCUCGGACUAGAACCAUGUGCACAACUAUGAUGGUUCUCACCACAAUCGCUCUUAUCCUGAGGCAGAUGUUCUCCAAUAAAAUCAAACCCUCCCCCUUUUUGGAUAAGACACCUUAGAGAAAAGGCAAAAAGAGGAUGACGAUACAGGAAUGCCGUACAUGAAAAGUAAUGGAGCGGUACACUGUGAAAAAUGACAAGCACACCACCAUCCAGAGGAAAAAGGUGACCCACAGGAAAACAAGAGGGCCUGUGCUGAUCAGUUCUUUGCUGCAUCUGCCUCAUAACUCUGUCAUGACUGGAGCAGGAAGCUGCAGCUGAGUCAGCGGGUCAAGCCAGCAGCACCUGACAAAUUUUGAAUUUAUGACAUUGCUGUAAGUUUCAGAAAUGAAUUGUGACUUACUUAAGGGGGGUUGACUUAAGGUCACAGACUAAAUAGGAUGCUUUAUUACACUGAUGUUGUCAUUGAUGGAAAGCAGCUCACACAAAGUUAUUCUCCCACAAAAGCCCUUUCUUCUGCCCUGCCUGAAAGGCUUUGUUUGCUGGAUUUACACACGCAACAUCAAAGAAAAGUAAAAGCUUUUAAUUUUUUUAAACAUUGCAUUUGAGCUUGCUUCUUCUUCUCCUGUGGGACUGAGAGUUUGUGUUCAAAUCUGACCAAACAAUGCAGAAAAAUUAAAGAAAAAAAAUGAAUCCAGGAGAUUAGAUCCAUGAUAUAGGUGUAGUUUAAAACCAGGGAUACUCUCAGGUAAAAAAAAUUUGACCUUUUGUCUACAAUCUUUUUAUGCAAAGUCAUGCUGGCAGAGCUUGAAGCUGCUUUAUGAACCUUUGACCGACAUUCUGUCUUUGCUUGGUGUCUUUUUUUCCACACAUGUUGCAACAACAGGCACCAAACAGUCUUUCCCAGCCCGAUAGAAGGAAUUAAAAUGUAAACACACAUUAAGUGGUCUCUUAUAAGUGACAGAAAUGUGCCUCAACAUGUAAAUUAUUUUCUAGAAAUCUUUGUUUUUUUUUACUCCAGUGAUAAAUAUUUUCAUGUUAUUUAAUUGGAAUCCUCUUAGGAAAUCCCAAGUGCCGAGAUUUAACAUAGUAGACAUUUUAAAGUAUUUGUUCUCUAACAGCGAUGGAAUUUCCUUCUUCUUCCUAGAGAGAAUGUCAACAUAUGCACCAAAAAUUAUCAGCUGACAUUGGUUUUAAUAAAUUCCAGAAGAAUUUGAUUACAAACCAACGUCAAAAUACAAAAUAUGAUCCCUAGGACAUUUAUUCUGGCAAUACAAUCAAAUGAUCUUAUUUGUAUAAUCAUAAUUGUGGAUAAUUGAAUUAACUGAAACUGAAAUGCAAUUUUCUUAAACUAGUAGUGACAGCCUAAUCAACAACUGUUUAGGACUUUUUUAUUUAAUUUUUUUUGCUUAGAGCACAAAUACUUGUUUUGCCACCAAAAGAAAUCAUCAACAGGAAUAUUUUCAUGUUGGACUCCUUUGUGGGUUAAUUCCAAAUACUGAAAAAGUUUGUUUUGUCUUUGUUUUGAUGCAGGGUGUUGUAGAGAAUGUGUGACAGAAACAUUCAUUUGUCAAGUGGCCCUCGUGCAUUUUUUUCAGUGACUUCAUAGCCUGAUUUCAGCCACAAGCCACAUGGAUGUGACUGAAUUACAUCUCCCUAGCAACACUACUCACAGAGGAUGUUUAUUCAGCUGUUUUAUUUGUACCGGGGGUGGAAAAAACUACCAAAAAAGCUCCCAGCUAAUUCAUUUACCAUCUUAAUGAUAUGUCUUUGAACAUGUAAAUAUUAAAAAUAACAUUAUAUCAAUUAUAAAAAAAAUACAUUUAUCAAAUGUAUCAAAGCCAAACUCACCUUGAGUCCAUAGUUUAUAAGGCCAGUGUUUGCUGAUUAAGAUAAUUUAGGAGAGUUUACCUUAAGGUCAAAGGACAAAAACUAACAGCUGCAUUCCAUUUUUUCACUUCAAUGAACACAGUUUAGUUGCGGGGUUUUGCAGUGUAAAAAUGUAUUCCUUCUUGUUAUCAUUUAAUUGCAGCAUUCGUGUCAUUUAAUGUGUUUUUUUCAUAUUUUUUUGAAGGUUCGGCAGAACUGUUGCCAUUUUAUUUUGAAAAGCAAAUGUACUGAACAAUUCUCCCUGUUUUGCUUCAGUAAAGUUAUAUAAACAUUGUAAUGGAAUAGAAUAGAACAGGAUAGAAAUAGAAAUAGAAAAAGAAAUAGAAAUAGAACAGAAUUAGAAUAGAAUUGUAUUAUUCCCACAAAGGGGAAAUUACUGCUUACUUAUAAAAUAAAACUUAUAAACGAA